rnacentral:rRNA from 1 species
CACGUAGGGCGCGAGCGUUGUCCGGAAUUAUUGGGCGUAAAGAGCCCGUAGGCGGCCUGUUGCGUCCGCUGUGAAAGCCCGGGGCUUAACCCCGGGUCGGCAGUGGAUACGGGCAGGCUAGAGGUAGGUAGGGGAGAAUGGAAUUCCCGGUGUAGCGGUGAAAUGCGCAGAUAUCGGGAGGAACACCGGUGGCGAAGGCGGUUCUCUGGGCCUUACCUGACGCUGAGGAGCGAAAGCGUGGGGAGCGAACAGG